UCUUGAUUGACUGACUUUUUUACUACUUAUAAUUCUAGCAAAUCAAUAUAAUUUAUUGUUACAUCAAAUGAACGUGAAAACAUCUUAUCUAAACGACAUAUUAAAUCAAGAAGAUAAAUAAAUCCUCAUACGGUUUAAAACCGUCAGCAAGAUACUGGGUUUGCACGUUUUGAUGAUGACCAAUUUAAAAAAAAAUUUAAUGAGUCAGCUUAAUAUAAAAGAUAUGUAAGCAGAUAUUUAAAAGCACCCAGUCUAUACUACCAAAAACGUUAAGUCACCAGGAUGGCCGAGCUAAGCAAAUGCGGGACAAAAAGGGGAACUAGGAUGGUACUCCAUAGUAUGAGAGUCGCGUUAAGUUCCCAUUACGUCAUCUGUAGUUAUCGGCCUAAUAAACUGUAUUAUUGAAAAGUAGUGACCUUUAUUUAAGGCGUAAACCUCAAUCUACCCCCGUGGAGUUUAUAUCAGAAGUGGGAUCGUACGGUGCUCAGUUAAAGUGUAAAAAAACACAGUUAAAAAUAAGAAUUCAAAAACUAAGUGCGAACGAAGCAGUUUUAAAAUGGCAGAAGGUUUUGGUGAAAGUUGUAAACCCUUGUUUAGGAAGGAUGAUAGUGAUAGUUUUGAAGAUGAACUAUGUGCAUCAGGCCCAAAACGUGCAAAUGUGCAUUGGCAAGAAACUUUAAUUAAUUUGGUUGUCGCCCAACAAAAACAACUAGCUAUGUUGGCAUAUCAGUUCAAGAUGGCGAUGUUUGCAAAGUCGACGGAAAAUGUCGAUGACGAAAGAGCGCGGACUCCUGUCGUCAGAUCCGCCGUGCCACAUUCCUCAUUUCGAAUUUCUAGCUUUGACCCCGAUAAAAGUGCUUACCCAAUAAAAAAGUGUUUACAUGACUGCACGAAGCUUAAGCAGGAAUUCCACGUAAGCGAUAUUUUACUGAUAGCGAAACCUGGCGACGCAUUACGUCAUCGAGGCUAUCGCGUUUAUUGUGAUUGAAGGCCUUUUAGUAGAGCCUGAGAACAUUUUUGCGAGGAUCUUUUUAUUGAAUUUCCUGAUAAAGAGACAGUUGUUGUUUGCACUUUUAUGGCAGCUACACUACGUAGCAUUGACUGUGAGUCCCUCUGUGAUGAUGAAAACCAGAAGUUAAGAAGCAUUCGUGGAUUUUCUGACCAACUGCUAUGGGAUACCGUACUCAGUAUGGUUGAAUAUGGCCUAAACGUGCUGAUAGCGAAACACGUUCUGCAAUUAGAAUUCAAAAACUAAGGUGCGAACGUGAGCUUUUGAAGCUAUUUGGAGUUUGAGGUGAUGUUCGCCGUGAAAAAAAGUUGUAGUGGGUUUAUUUGGUUCUCGUCGAAAUGAGCGCUAUGUGAGAGAGCCUACCGCCGAAAUAAGACCUCGUCAAUCUGCAGAAUUUACAGGUACAUGUUUUAAAUCUGGCCAAAUGGGGCAUCAACAAUAUAAUUGCAAAAUAACUUCCAAGCAGGACGAAAUUUUACAAGAGUUUAAGAAAACUAUCAAAAUUCCAACAUACAUCCAUUGCAAAAAAAAUGGGCCACAUUGAGGAAAAUUGCUGGUACAAAAAUGAGAAACAAAAAGCCAUUGUCUUAAGAAAAUGACGCCAAGUUGUCGAAACACCAAUAGCCACAGUAUUAUGUAAUAAUAGCGCUCCUUAUUAUGUAUACUGCAUUGAUAGUGGUGCCGAUGUUUGCUUAAUAAAAUAGCCGAUUAACAUCACAUAGAGUGAUGAAAUCGAGCGACAAAGUGGGUACGUAUGUUGGAUUUGGGAUUCACGUUGUUUUUGCUAUAUAGGUGCUUGUGAUUUGAUUGUUAUUUUACCAAUGAUGGCAUUUGACAUUUGUUUUGUUGUUGUUCCUGAUAGAGUUGUUCAUAGUGGCAUCGAUAUUAUUAUUGGCCUAGAUGUUAUUUUUCAGCCCUAUAUAUGUGUUAAAAAGGGUGUGGAUGAAAUUGAACUAUAUUAUCAGCGACCAGACCCUUCUAUAGUUUUAACUUUUAGUAGUUUAAGUACGAUACAAAUACAGCAACUUGGAUUGGACCAUACUUUAAAGUUGCAUUUAAAAACCUUGCUAAAUACUUCUAGACAUAACUCCCAACCAUAUUACUACGAUCAUGUUCCUGUGGUCUAUAGUUCUCGUCGCUUGGCUUACCAAGAACGCGCUUAAGUCGCCGACAGAGUGAAUGAGCUUUUAAGGAAUGGAAACAUACUUCGAGUACGCCAGCUGUAUGUUUCAAGAUUUUGUAUUGAAUAGUGAAGCACAUUUUAAUUUAAAAGUAACAAAUCUAUAUUUUGAUAAUGGGCGAGAAUAUCUUUUCAAUAAAUUUAAAAACUAUUGUGUUCAAAAGAGAUUAGUUACCAUUAAACGUACCACAUACAGCGCAACAAAAUCCUAAGUCCAAAAAUCUAAUAUAAGAGUGGUCUUUUCCGAAAAUAGUCAGGAGCACUAUACUAGAACUCAACAUGAUAGCUACUGGCAUAAUAAUAUUAGGACUAAUAUAGUGUUACGUAAUCCAGCUUAUCAUGCCGCAAUAGCAUUUUAAACACACUAGAAGUUAUUAAUAAAUUUUAUGCAUUGCUAAAAAUAAGGUAAGAAUAGAAUUCCCCAAGUAUUAAUCCACUUGAGUUAGGUAAUAAUAAAGUCUUUGAAUUUGUCUAUAAUAAUAAAGAGUUUGAAAAUUGUUGCUUGAGAAUAUCAACUGACAAUGCCCUUCAUAAAAAUCCAUAUUGGACCCAGGAUGGGUUGGGUUGGGUAUAAAACUAAUAUAUGCAAAAACAAAUACGCAUUUUGCCUAAGUCCCAUAUUUGUAUUGAAACCGUAAUCGUUGAAUGUAAACAAAACGUGGUUUCAGUUUCAGUGCCUCUUUAAAUUAAAAAGUUAAGUAAAAAACUUUUUUAAAUAGUGAAAUCAGAAUUUAAGCUAAACUGUAAUAGUUUUAAUAUAAUAAUUAGAUAAAAGAUCUAACGAAUUUUUGCCGUUUUAACUAGUUUUAACAUCGGCGUGGAGUUAGGCAAAUUUCUUCCUUAAUUAUUAUAAUAAAAAAUGGUAAAUGCACGCAGUUAGGCAAAUUGCUAAUAUCUGUUACAUGGUUACAAAAGCGUAGUUAUAGGUUUUUUUUUAAGGGAGGUACUAUAUUUACACCCCCUCCCCGCCAGAAAAAAGAUAGGAAAAAAGCACGCCGCAGGCGCAAUUUGGGGGUGUCAUGUUCAAUUUUUGUUAUAGGUAUUGCUUUCUGUAUUUUCUAAGGGCUAACUAAGCCUGUGCUGUUUUAAACAUUAAAGAUUGAAAAAUUGUGGACAAACCGUUUUGUCUUGUAUAAUAUAGAAAGAAAACAUUGGACCACAGCAUAAAGAAACCAGCAGUCGCACUCCGCUCGAAAAUGUAAGCGAACUAAUAGCAUCCUUAGCCAUGCCGCAUGGGGGCAAGAAUUUGGGCAAUUGCUUCUAGCAGAGAAGUUUUGAUAACAAAGGAGAACCUCCAUACUCUUUCUUAUAAAAUUUGUGGGAGGCAUUUUGAAAACAAGAUGUUUCUAAACGAUUUACAAAACAGACUACAAAAAAUGCAGUGCCCACUUUAUUCGCAGCGCUAGAAGGCUCAUCUUCAGAUUCAACCAGAAAAAUAUGCCAAGAUUUAAAUGAAGCUUUUUCGCACUCAUCCGAUGUGAACUCUGUUAUAACUUUUUCUCCAACGCUAGAAGACACAUCUUCGCAUUCAACGAAAAAAUUAUGUCAAGAUGAAACUUUACCACAAUCAUCCGAUGUAGCUUCUGUAGGUACUUUGUUUCCUGCACUAGAAAGCACAUCUUCCCAUUCAACCAAAGAAUUAUGCCAAGAUUUAGUUAAAACCUUCCCACAUUCAUCUAAUGUGGCUUCUGUUAGUAGAUCUUACCUCGUUACUGCGCAAUCCCACCAAACUCAAUUCAAGAGACAAAAAAGUUUUAUUUGUAUAAUCCACAGAACAUAAUAAAAAUUGCACAAAAGUCAGUGGCGUAUAUUUUAGUUGUUGUUAAAUUUUAACACCCUGUAUAUUGAGAACGAAGAAUUUCUGGACAUAUGUUUAUAUGAACUUUUUGUUUUAAAAUUACUCAAAAAAUGGUUUCUUAAAUUUAUGGUACAUACCUAAUUAACUUUCUGCACGUAUUCUCCUAUAUCGUCGUUGUUAGAUGUAGAAAUGCGAUGUUUAUUUUUGUUUAAAUAUUUUGUUAAUGUAUGAACUUUAUUAAUAUUAAAAAAUAAAUAUUUGUACUAUGUAGGUAUUUUUAUUUUACAAGAUAAUAAUAUCUAAAAAAAUGUUUAAGUCCGGCUCUAGCCAAGGCAAAAGCCGCGUGGACCGUAGCGAGUGUCAGCGGCAUCCCUACUAUAAGCAAAUAUGCCGCGCCUGCGUUAGUACACAUGCACCGAACUCGCUUA